GUAAACCAGAAGAACCCCCUGCAUUGGAAAAACAAAAAGGAACAACACAGUCCUCAGACGUUGAUUUGAGCUGCUCACCUUCACAUUCCCUGGAUAGGGAAGGAUGUCGCUGCAACAUGAGGGAUGGAGAGGAAUUUGCACCUGGGCCACUUUGAAGCAGGUGGCAGUGACUGUCAGGACGUCUCCCUCUGCUGGUGACAACCUGCCGUUAUGGAAAGAUGAGAUGAUCACUACAUAAUAGCCAUGCCGGGAAAAGAUGCUGAACGAUGCCGGUGCAGUGUGUCCUGCCAGAAUCCACAUAACCUGCACCUCCCAUUAUGAAGAGUCCCAAAGUGGACUGUGAUUUUGAGGUACUUGUACUUUACUUGAGUAAUUCCAUUUUAUGCUACUUUACACUUCUACUCCACUACAUCUUGGAAGCAAAUAUUGUACUUUUUACUCCACUACAUUUAUCUGACAGCUUUAGUUACUUUGCAGAUUCAGAUUAUUAAGAAAUAUAAUCAACUAAUAAAUGAUGAUACAUUAUUAUAGAUUAAGAUACACAGCAGUAUUUAAAAUAAUUCUAAUUAGCUCCACCUUUACCAUCUGCAACAUUAAAGUGAUGUACACAUUAAUGCAUCAAAUAUUAUAAUCCAGUAAUAAAAUAGCCUAUAUAUGAUUCUGAAAUGGGCCAUUCUGCAUAAUGAGUUUUUUUGGUACUUUGAGUAUAUUUUGAUACUAAUACUUAUGUACUCCUACAUAAAUAUCUGAGCACCAGUCCGUUUAUAGAUCUCUAUCAAUACUAAGUUUACAACACGUAUCUUUUCAAAAUAGCUUUUACUAAUACAAUAUACACUCUAUUAGUGCAUAUAAUACAGUGUAAAUACAGUUGUUCAGCUGCACCAUGAAUCAGUGGGUAAAAUGUUGAAUCUCCAUUUUUCAAAACAAAUGCUGAACUCUUUUAAACCUUUUUUCAUAUUUUUUAAAACACCUUAUCUCUUAAUCCGUAUGGAUAAUCUUAAUGUCAAUCUGCAGCUUUGAUGGACUGACAUGAUAACCUUGUUCCUGCUAAAGAAUGCUGGUUGUCAUAUGUAGGACUGCAACUAAUGAUUAUUUUCAUUAUCAAUUAUGUUCUCAAUGUGUCUAUGAAAUGUAAAAAAAAAAAAAAAGGGGAACAUUUUUAUUGUGAAAUGAAUAAUCAUUUCUGAUAAUGGUUGCUUAUUAAUUUUCUGUAUAUCCCUUAAUGACUAAUGGUUUUAGCUCAAGUAGUAUGGUAUGAUUU